ACAUGCGACCAUAGGGUGUGGGAAACAGGCCUUACCGUCCGCUCAGCCAUACUUAAGUCACACGUCGAUAAUAGUUGAGUGGGGGACCACCAGCGAAUCUUCACUGUUGUAUGUU
rnacentral:rRNA from 1 species